AGCGAACGCUGGCGGCAGGCUUAACACAUGCAAGUCGAGCGGGCAUCCUUUGGUGUCAGCGGCAGACGGGUGAGUAACGCGUGGGAACGCGCCCUUCGGUUCGGAAUAACUCAGGGAAACUUGAGCUAAUACCGGAUACGUGCGAGAGCAGAAAGGUUUAUCUGCCGAAGGAUCGGCCCGCGUCUGAUUAGCUAGUUGGUGAGGUUACGGCUCACCAAGGCGACGAUCAGUAGCUGGUCUGAGAGGAUGAUCAGCCACACUGGGACUGAGACACGGCCCAGACUCCUACGGGAGGCAGCAGUGGGGAAUAUUGGACAAUGGGGGCAACCCUGAUCCAGCCAUGCCGCGUGAGUGAUGACGGCCUUAGGGUUGUAAAGCUCUUUUCUCCGGGACGAUAAUGACGGUACCGGAGGAAUAAGCCCCGGCUAACUUCGUG
rnacentral:rRNA from 1 species